AAUGGGUCAGCGACUUAUAUUCUGUAGCAAGGUUAACCGAAUAGGGGAGCCGGAGGGAAACCGAGUCUUAAUUGGGCGUUAAGUUGCAGGGUAUAGACCCGAAACCCGGUGAUCUAGCCAUGGGCAGGUUGAAGGUUGGGUAACACUAACUGGAGGACCGAACCGACUAAUGUUGAAAAAUUAGCGGAUGACCUGUGGCUGGGGGUGAAAGGCCAAUCAAACCGGGAGAUAGCUGGUUCUCCCCGAAAGCUAUUUAGGUAGCGCCUCGUGAAUUCAUCUCCGGGGGUAGAGCACUGUUUCGGCUAGGGGGCCAUCCCGGCUUACCAACCCGAUGCAAACUGCGAAUACCGGAGAAUGUUAUCACGGGAGACACACGGCGGGUGCUAACGUCCGUCGUGAAGAGGGAAACAACCCAGACCGCCAGCUAAGGUCCCAAAGUCAUGGUUAAGUGGGAAACGAUGUGGGAAGGCCCAGACAGCCAGGAUGUUGGCUUAGAAGCAGCCAUCAUUUAAAGAAAGCGUAAUAGCUCACUGGUCGAGUCGGCCUGCGCGGAAGAUGUAACGGGGCUAAACCAUGCACCGAAGCUGCGGCAGCGAACGUAUCACUUAAAGCGAUUCAGCGGGUUACGAUUGACGGAGCGAAGCGACGUCAAAGCGUAUACAAAGUCGAGUCGGUUUAAGGAUACGUUCGUUGGGUAGGGGAGCGUUCUGUAAGCCUGUGAAGGUGGCCUGUGAGGGUUGCUGGAGGUAUCAGAAGUGCGAAUGCUGACAUAAGUAACGAUAAAGCGGGUGAAAAGCCCGCUCGCCGGAAGACCAAGGGUUCCUGUCCAACGUUAAUCGGGGCAGGGUGAGUCGACCCCUAAGGCGAGGCCGAAAGGCGUAGUCGAUGGGAAACGGGUUAAUAUUCCCGUACUUGGUGUUACUGCGAAGGGGGGACGGAGAAGGCUAUGUUGGCCGGGCGACGGUUGUCCCGGUUUAAGCGUGUAGGCUGGUUUUCCAGGCAAAUCCGGAAAAUCAAGGCUGAGGCGUGAUGACGAGGCACUACGGUGCUGAAGCAACAAAUGCCCUGCUUCCAGGAAAAGCCUCUAAGCAUCAGGUAACAUCAAAUCGUACCCCAAACCGACACAGGUGGUCAGGUAGAGAAUACCAAGGCGCUUGAGAGAACUCGGGUGAAGGAACUAGGCAAAAUGGUGCCGUAACUUCGGGAGAAGGCACGCUGACACGUAGGUGAAGUGAUUUACUCACGGAGCUGAAGUCAGUCGAAGAUACCAGCUGGCUGCAACUGUUUAUUAAAAACACAGCACUGUGCAAACACGAAAGUGGACGUAUACGGUGUGACGCCUGCCCGGUGCCGGAAGGUUAAUUGAUGGGGUCAGCGCAAGCGAAGCUCCUGAUCGAAGCCCCGGUAAACGGCGGCCGUAACUAUAACGGUCCUAAGGUAGCGAAAUUCCUUGUCGGGUAAGUUCCGACCUGCACGAAUGGCGUAAUGAUGGCCAGGCUGUCUCCACCCGAGACUCAGUGAAAUUGAACUCGCUGUGAAGAUGCAGUGUACCCGCGGCAAGACGGAAAGACCCCGUGAACCUUUACUAUAGCUUGACACUGAACAUUGAGCCUUGAUGUGUAG
rnacentral:rRNA from 1 species